rnacentral:rRNA from 1 species
UACGAAGGGGGCUAGCGUUGCUCGGAAUCACUGGGCGUAAAGGGUGCGUAGGUGGUUAGGUAAGUCCGAUGUGAAAUCUCCAGGCUCAACCUGGAAAUGGCAUUGGAUACUAUUUAGCUUGAGGAGUGGGAGGGGGGACUGGAAUUCUCGGUGUAGCAGUGAAAUGCGUAGAUAUCGAGAGGAACACCAGUGGCGAAGGCGAGUCCCUGGACACUUCCUGACACUGAGGCACGAAAGCGUGGGGAGCGAACAGG